rnacentral:rRNA from 1 species
UGGCUCAGAACGAACGCUGGCGGCGCGCCUAAUACAUGCAAGUCGAGCGAGAAGACGUAGCAAUACGUUUGUAAAGCGGCGAACGGGUGAGGAAUACAUGGGUAACCUACCCUCGAGUGGGGAAUAACUAGCCGAAAGGUUAGCUAAUACCGCAUACGACUCCUGGUCUGCGGAUCGGGAGGGAAAGCGAUACCGUGGGUAUCGCGCUCUUGGAUGGGCUCAUGUCCUAUCAGCUUGUUGGUGAGGUAAUGGCUCACCAAGGCUUCGACGGGUAGCUGGUCUGAGAGGACGAUCAGCCACACUGGCACUGCGACACGGGCCAGACUCCUACGGGAGGCAGCAGUAAGGAAUAUUGCGCAAUGGGCGACAGCCUGACGCAGCGACGCCGCGUGGGGGAUGAAGGUCUUCGGAUUGUAAACCCCUUUCGGCAGGGAAGAUGGAACGGGUAACCGUUCGGACGGUACCUGCAGAAGCAGCCACGGCUAACUUCGUGCCAGCAGCCGCGGUAAUACGAAGGUGGCAAGCGUUGUUCGGAUUUACUGGGCGUACAGGGAGCGUAGGCGGUUGGGUAAGCCCUCCGUGAAAUCUCCGGGCCUAACCCGGAAAGUGCGGAGGGGACUGCUCGGCUAGAGGAUGGGAGAGGUGCGCGGAAUUCCCGGUGUAGCGGUGAAAUGCGUAGAGAUCGGGAGGAAGGCCGGUGGCGAANGCGGCGCUCUGGAACAUUUCUGACGCUGANGCUCGAAAGCGUGGGGAGCAAACAGGAUUAGAUACCCU